rnacentral:lncRNA from 1 species
AUGCAUUGUGGGGAGCGCUGGGUAUGGAAUGGAAGGCCUGGAACUCUAAAGCCUCUUGAGUUGCUACACAGGGCCUCAUUGGAAAGAGAUUCCAAUGAAGAAAUAAGUGAUAUAGGAGAAACUACGGCCAGCCUACCCAAGCCGCAGUUGCCCUGUCCCCGGUGCCCAGGCCAUUCCGAAUGCAUGGCAGGUACUUCCUCCCUCAGCCAAGUCACCAAGCCUGCCUCAACACCCAGAGAGGUUGACAGAGAGACACCUGACCCAGAGACACCAAUGAGAAGAGGACAUAGAGCAGAGCCAGCCACCUGAGCCAAUAGGACCUUGGGAGGGAGUAUAAAGGCAGGGCUGACUUCCUUAGUAAUUGAGUUUGCAGCACACUCUGCUACUCACUGACUCCCCGUGCCUAUGCCUUUGGUAUUGCACCUUCUCACCUCCUCCCCCAAGGGGUGUCCAAGCAGGAUAACUCACAACAAAGUGGUAUUGGACUCGAAUUUAUCUACCUUGGAAGAUACGCAUAACUGAGUGGGAGUCAGCAAUGGCUCCAGAGAGCCAGUAUGUAGAGAACACAGGACAGGAAACUGGCAAGCUAAAGUUCUUUCAUCCAGGCUGUGAUCCAGUUGUGGGGUAAGGAUGAAUGCCUUACUCAGCCUAUACUCACUUUCCUCUUCUAUAAAACAAAGAACAUGGUGGGGACCUGGAACAAUGGUCUCUGAAGACAUUUGUUCCCAAGGAUGGGGCAUCCUGGUCUCAGGUCGGCUGGCUCCUCAGUGCAGGGGGUUUUGUUGGCACUGAAUGAAGAUAGCAUUAGUGGUUUAAAGGAAAUUGUGUUGAGAUUUCUGCUUAUGUCAGGGGCUAGCUAUGUUCUAGCUGUACCUGCUCAUAGUGAGCCUAUUUAUCUUUUGGACUUCAAUGGAAAGAAAUGCUAGCAGUCAAUAUUUGAGGCAUUUGGGUUACUUUUGCUCUUGAUCUGGCCUUGGACUAUGAAGAAAUAAAGUUAUGUUAACACAGUCA